CUUAAAACCCAAAGGAUUUGACGGUGUCCCACCCAACUAGAGGAGCCUGUUCUAUAAUCGAUGAUCCCCGCUUCACCUAACCACCCCUCGCCUUCAGUCUGUAUACCUCCGUCGAAAGCUUACCAUGUGAACGCCCGCAGUAGGCUUAAGGAGUCAAUACGUCAGGUCAAGGUGCAGCUUAAGGGGUGGCAAGUAAUGGGCUACAAUUUCUAAUCUAGAACAAACGAAAGACUAUGUGAAACCCUAGUCAUGAAGGUGGAUUUAGUAGUAAAAAGAAAGCAGAGUGUUCUUUUUAACCCGGCUCUGGGACGCGUACACACCGCCCGUCACCCUCUUCGAUAGUACGUUUUAGAAGAGGCAAGUCGUAACAUGGUAAGUGUACUGGAAAGUGCACUUGGUAUAUCA
rnacentral:rRNA from 1 species